AAGUCUGGUGCCAGCAGCCGCGGUAAUUCCAGCUCCAAUAGCGUAUAUUAAAAUUGUUGCGUCUAAAAAGCUCGUAGUUUGAAAACUUGCCUUGGCUAGCAUCUGGUUCUCUAAUGUACCGCCGCUUGUCGGGGCAAAUAUCGAUGACUGUUUUUGCCGACUUCACUGUUUGGCUUAUAAGAGUUAUCAAAUAUCACUUUGAUUAAAUUAGAGUGCUUAAAGCAAGUGUGUUACUUGGAUAUAAAUGCAUGGAAUGAUGGAAUAUGUUGUUGUUCUAUUUGUUGGUUUUUGAACGAUAAAAUGAUUGAAAGGAACUGUUGGGGGCAUUCGUAUUGUUGUGAGAGAGGUGAAAUUCUUAGACCACAGCAAGACGAACUACUGCGAAAGCAUUUGCCAAGAAUGUUUUCAUUGAUCAAGAACGAAAGUUAGAGGUUCGAAGGCGAUCAGAUACUGCCCUAGUUCUAA
rnacentral:rRNA from 1 species